AUCAUAAAUGAUGAAUGACAUAAGGACUGAAUACUGAAACUUAGGAUCACAUUGUAAUAGACUGAUGUGC